rnacentral:ncRNA from 1 species
GAGCACCAUGGAAAACUUAGAAGCAUUGGACGGCCCUUUGUACACACCGUCCGUCGGUACUACUGAUUGAAUGGUUUAGUGAAGUCGUUGUAGUGGCUUUGUCGCUCGACUAAUGUUGAGAAGAUGACCUAAUUUGACUAUUUAGAAGUAAAAGUCGUAAAAACGUUUUCGUAGGUGAACCUGAGGAAG